CGACCGGCGCACGGGUGAGUAACGCGUAUGCGACCUGCCCGUUGCAGGGGGAUAAUCGGGAGAAAUCCCGUCUAAUACCGCGUAACGCCGCGGGGCUGCAUGGCCCUGCGGCCAAAGGGAGCGAUUCCGGCAACGGAUGGGCAUGCGUGACACUAGCUAGUUGGCGGGGCAACGGCCCACCAAGGCGACGAUGUCUAGGGGUUCUGAGAGGAAGGUCCCCCACACUGGUACUGAGACACGGACCAGACUCCUACGGAAGGCAGCAG
rnacentral:rRNA from 1 species